GUGAGUGAUGAAGGCCUUAGGGUUGUAAAGCUNUUUUACCAGGAUGAUAAUGACAGUACCUGGAGAAUAANCCCCGGCUAACUCCGUGCCAGCANCCNCGUAAUACGGAGGGGGCUAGCGUUGUUCGGAAUUACUGGGCGUAAAGAGUACGUAGGCGGUUAUUCAAGUCAGAGGUGAAAGCCUGGAGNUCAACUCCAGAACUGCCUUUGAAANUAGAUAGCUAGAAUCAUGGAGAGGUUAUUGGAAUU
rnacentral:rRNA from 1 species